rnacentral:sRNA from 12 species
UUCGCUCCACACAGAUAAAUUAAUCUGAGCAUGUGGCCAUCCAAAGAGUGGAUGUAACACCAGUAGUUAAGUUGCUUGGGAUAUAGCAAAUGUUAACUACAUUCAUGGUGU